rnacentral:rRNA from 1 species
GGGGAGCAAACAGGAUUAGAUACCCUGGUAGUCCACGCCGUAAACGAUGUCGACUUGGAGGUUGUGCCCUUGAGGCGUGGCUUCCGGAGCUAACGCGUUAAGUCGACCGCCUGGGGAGUACGGCCGCAAGGUUAAAACUCAAAUGAAUUGACGGGGGCCCGCACAAGCGGUGGAGCAUGUGGUUUAAUUCGAUGCAACGCGAAGAACCUUACCUGGUCUUGACAUCCACGGAACUUUUCAGAGAUGAGAAGGUGCCUUCGGGAACCGUGAGACAGGUGCUGCAUGGCUGUCGUCAGCUCGUGUUGUGAAAUGUUGGGUUAAGUCCCGCAACGAGCGCAACCCUUAUCCUUUGUUGCCAGCGGUCCGGCCGGGAACUCAAAGGAGACUGCCAGUGAUAAACUGGAGGAAGGUGGGGAUGACGUCAAGUCAUCAUGGCCCUUACGACCAGGGCUACACACGUGCUACAAUGGCGCAUACAAAGAGAAGCGACCUCGCGAGAGCAAGCGGACCUCAUAAAGUGCGUCGUAGUCCGGAUUGGAGUCUGCAACUCGACUCCAUGAAGUCGGAAUCGCUAGUAAUCGUGGAUCAGAAUGCCACGGUGAAUACGUUCCCGGGCCUUGUACACACCGCCCGUCACACCAUGGGAGUGGGUUGCAAAAGAAGUAGGUAGCUUAACCUUCGGG